AUAGAAUUUUGAAACAGCGCUUUGAAUUUUUUGGAAUGAAAUGGAGCACAAAUUGAGUGUUUCUGGUGGGUUUUCUUAGUUCAAAACAUGUCGCUGGGAUUUAGUUUAACACCGAAUUCUUUUCUUUUACAGAAAAUUUCAGUUUGUGCUUUAUUUUUCACUCUGAAAAAUUUAAAUGCGCUGUUACAAUUCUACUAUGAACUGAAAUGGGAUAUAAAAUGUAACACUUGCACAAGAAAAAUUUUUAUUCUCGAAAAUUAUUUCCGAAUUAAAAACUGGCAUUAUUCGAUGCCUGAAUGUUUGUUAUUAUUUCUAUUAAGCGAUAUUUCUGAUUUUAUAUGAGAAAUUCAAAGGCGACUAGAUGAAAAUCAUUUUAACACACCUUGUACGCAUAAGUGUAAAAUUAGAGAGAGAGCGAAUGUGUGUUGGGUAACGAACAUGCGUAUUAUAAGGAUGUGUUUCGUUAAAUACCCUUUCCAGUUAAGAACGAAAUCUGCAACAAUGAUCUUUUUGGACAGUCAAG